rnacentral:miRNA from 1 species
AAUGUUUUUUCCUGUUUCC